UGGAAAUCGGAGGAAAAGAAACCAACCGGGAUUGCCUUAGUAACGGCGAGUGAAGCGGCAAAAGCUCAAAUUUGAAAUCUGGUACCUUCGGUGCCCGAGUUGUAAUUUGGAGAGGGCAACUUUGGGGCCGUUCCUUGUCUAUGUUCCUUGGAACAGGACGUCAUAGAGGGUGAGAAUCCCGUGUGGCGAGGAGUGCGGUUCUUUGUAAAGUGCCUUCGAAGAGUCGAGUUGUUUGGGAAUGCAGCUCUAAGUGGGUGGUAAAUUCCAUCUAAAGCUAAAUAUUGGCGAGAGACCGAUAGCGAACAAGUACAGUGAUGGAAAGAUGAAAAGAACUUUGAAAAGAGAGUGAAAAAGUACGUGAAAUUGUUGAAAGGGAAGGGCAUUUGAUCAGACAUGGUGUUUUGUGCCCUCUGCUCCUUGUGGGUAGGGGAAUCUCGCAUUUCACUGGGCCAGCAUCAGUUUUGGUGGCAGGAUAAAUCCAUAGGAAUGUAGCUUGCCUCGGUAAGUAUUAUAGCCUGUGGGAAUACUGCCAGCUGGGACUGAGGACUGCGACGUAAGUCAAGGAUGCUGGCAUAAUGGUUAUAUGCCGCCCGUCUUGAACCCCGA
rnacentral:rRNA from 2 species